rnacentral:lncRNA from 1 species
AUGGGACGCAUCCCCGGGGGAUGCUCCUCCAAAGCUUUUAUCGGGCGAGCGCAGUGGCUCACGCCUGUAAUUCCUGCACUUUGGGAGGCUAAGGGUCUCACUCUAUUGUCUAGGCUCGAAUGCAGUGACGUGAUCAUGGAUCACUGCAGUCCUCAACUUACUGGGCUCAGGAUGAAAGGCUUCCUAGCACAAACACCACCCCUGGAGUUCCCGGUACAUCAAUACCAGCCUGGGGAUCACGUUCUCAUCAAGAGUUGGAAGAGGGAAAGCUUGAACCAGCUUAGGAGGACCUCAUCUGGUACUCUUGAUGAAUGA